rnacentral:rRNA from 1 species
GACGAACGCUGGCGGCGUGCUUAACACAUGCAAGUCGAACGGAAAGGCCCUGCUUUUGUGGGGUGCUCGAGUGGCGAACGGGUGAGUAACACGUGAGUAACCUGCCCAUGACUUUGGGAUAACUUCAGGAAACUGGGGCCAAUACCGGAUAGGAGCUCCUGCUGCAUGGUUGGGGUUGGAAAGUUUCGGCGGUUGGGGAUGGACUCGCGGCUUAUCAGCUUGUUGGUGGGGUAGUGGCUUACCAAGGCUUUGACGGGUAGCCGGCCUGAGAGGGUGACCGGCAACAUUGGGAGUGUGAUACGGCACAGACUCCUACGGAAGGAAGCAGUGGGGAAUAUUGCACAAUGGGCGGAAGCCGGAUGCGGCAAGGCCGCGUGCGGGAUGACGACCUUCGGGGUGUAGACCGCUUUGUCCUGUGACGAAGCGUGAGUGACGGUAAUGGGUAAGAAAGCACCGGCUAACUACGUG